AUUGAACGCUGGCGGCAGGCCUAACACAUGCAAGUCGAACGAGUGGCGGACGGGUGAGUAAUGUCUGGGAAACUGCCCGAUGGAGGGGGAUAACUACUGGAAAAGGUAGCUAAUACCGCAUACCAUCGGAUGUGCCCAGAUGGGAUUAGCUAGUUGGGGGGGUAAAGGCUCCCCUAGGCGACGAUCCCUAGCUGGUCUGAGAGGAUGACCAGCAACACUGGAACUGAGACACGGGCCAGACUCCUACGGGAGGCAGCAGUGGGGAAUAUUGGACAAUGGGCGAAAGCCUGAUGCAGCCAUGCCGCGUGUAUGAAGAAGGCCUUCGGGUUGUAAAGUACUUUCAGCGGGGAAGCGUUACCCGCAGAAGAAGCACCGGCUAACUCCGUGCCAGCAGCCGCGGUAAUUC
rnacentral:rRNA from 1 species